UAUGACUGAUGAUGAGGUUUGACUAUUUAUCCAUGAUUUGCUAUCUAGUCAGGACUCACGAUAGAGAGACUGCAUCAUACAUUAACUAUAUCUAGAGAUUAUAUUUUGAUUCUGCUGGGUUGUCACUACAUAUUGCUAGAUGUCACUGGUAGAUUGUGAGAGCUCAAUAAGAUUGCUCUGGAUCAAUAAUCUUUAUCGAGUUAAAGUGAAAC
rnacentral:lncRNA from 1 species